UGGGUGUGUGUUGGGAUGUGAUAAGUACCU
rnacentral:piRNA from 1 species